rnacentral:rRNA from 1 species
GGUUAAGCGACUAAGCGUACACGGUGGAUGCCCUGGCAGUCAGAGGCGAUGAAGGACGUGCUAAUCUGCGAUAAGCGUCGGUGAGGUGAUAUGAACCGUUAUAACCGGCGAUUUCCGAAUGGGGAAACCCAGUGUGUUUCGACACACUAUCAUUAACUGAAUCCAUAGGUUAAUGAGGCGAACCGGGGGAACUGAAACAUCUAAGUACCCCGAGGAAAAGAAAUCAACCGAGAUUCCCCCAGUAGCGGCGAGCGAACGGGGAGGAGCCCAGAGCCUGAAUCAGUGUGUGUGUUAGUGGAAGCGUCUGGAAAGGCGCGCGAUACAGGGUGACAGCCCCGUACACAAAAAUGCACAUAUUGUGAGCUCGAUGAGUAGGGCGGGACACGUGGUAUCCUGUCUGAAUAUGGGGGGACCAUCCUCCAAGGCUAAAUACUCCUGACUGACCGAUAGUGAACCAGUACCGUGAGGGAAAGGCGAAAAGAACCCCGGCGAGGGGAGUGAAAAAGAACCUGAAACCGUGUACGUACAAGCAGUGGGAGCCUCUUAAUGGGGUGACUGCGUACCUUUUGUAUAAUGGGUCAGCGACUUAUAUUCUGUAGCAAGGUUAACCGAAUAGGGGAGCCGAAGGGAAACCGAGUCUUAACUGGGCGUUAAGUUGCAGGGUAUAGACCCGAAACCCGGUGAUCUAGCCAUGGGCAGGUUGAAGGUUGGGUAACACUAACUGGAGGACCGAACCGACUAAUGUUGAAAAAUUAGCGGAUGACUUGUGGCUGGGGGUGAAAGGCCAAUCAAACCGGGAGAUAGCUGGUUCUCCCCGAAAGCUAUUUAGGUAGCGCCUCGUGAAUUCAUCUCCGGGGGUAGAGCACUGUUUCGGCAAGGGGGUCAUCCCGACUUACCAACCCGAUGCAAACUGCGAAUACCGGAGAAUGUUAUCACGGGAGACACACGGCGGGUGCUAACGUCCGUCGUGAAGAGGGAAACAACCCAGACCGCCAGCUAAGGUCCCAAAGUCAUGGUUAAGUGGGAAACGAUGUGGGAAGGCCCAGACAGCCAGGAUGUUGGCUUAGAAGCAGCCAUCAUUUAAAGAAAGCGUAAUAGCUCACUGGUCGAGUCGGCCUGCGCGGAAGAUGUAACGGGGCUAAACCAUGCACCGAAGCUGCGGCAGCGACACUAUGUGUUGUUGGGUAGGGGAGCGUUCUGUAAGCCUGUGAAGGUGGCCUGUGAGGGUUGCUGGAGGUAUCAGAAGUGCGAAUGCUGACAUAAGUAACGAUAAAGCGGGUGAAAAGCCCGCUCGCCGGAAGACCAAGGGUUCCUGUCCAACGUUAAUCGGGGCAGGGUGAGUCGACCCCUAAGGCGAGGCCGAAAGGCGUAGUCGAUGGGAAACAGGUUAAUAUUCCUGUACUUGGUGUUACUGCGAAGGGGGGACGGAGAAGGCUAUGUUGGCCGGGCGACGGUUGUCCCGGUUUAAGCGUGUAGGCUGGUUUUCCAGGCAAAUCCGGAAAAUCAAGGCUGAGGCGUGAUGACGAGGCACUACGGUGCUGAAGCGACAAAUGCCCUGCUUCCAGGAAAAGCCUCUAAGCAUCAGGUAACAUCAAAUCGUACCCCAAACCGACACAGGUGGUCAGGUAGAGAAUACCAAGGCGCUUGAGAGAACUCGGGUGAAGGAACUAGGCAAAAUGGUGCCGUAACUUCGGGAGAAGGCACGCUGAUAUGUAGGUGAAGCGACUUGCUCGUGGAGCUGAAAUCAGUCGAAGAUACCAGCUGGCUGCAACUGUUUAUUAAAAACACAGCACUGUGCAAACACGAAAGUGGACGUAUACGGUGUGACGCCUGCCCGGUGCCGGAAGGUUAAUUGAUGGGGUUAGCGGUAACGCGAAGCUCUUGAUCGAAGCCCCGGUAAACGGCGGCCGUAACUAUAACGGUCCUAAGGUAGCGAAAUUCCUUGUCGGGUAAGUUCCGACCUGCACGAAUGGCGUAAUGAUGGCCAGGCUGUCUCCACCCGAGACUCAGUGAAAUUGAACUCGCUGUGAAGAUGCAGUGUACC